GACUGAAUUUUAGGUGAUAAAUUGUAAAUUUAUUUAUGGAAAGAUCCUUUUACUAGGUAAAAU
rnacentral:tRNA from 1 species